AAAUGCGCUAAGUAAUGUGAAUUGCAGAAUUCAGUGAAUCAUCGAAUCUUUGAACGCACCUUGCGCUCCUUGGUAUUCCUUGGAGCAUGCCUGUUUGAGUAUCAUGAAAUCUUCAAAGUAAAUCUUUUUUUAACUCAAUUGGUUUCUACUUUGGUAUUGGAGGUCUUUGCAGCUUCACACCUGCUCCUCUUUGUUCAUUAGCUGGAUCUCAGUGUUAUGCUUGGUUCCACUCGGCGUGAUAAGUUAUCUAUCGCUGAGGACACUGUAAAAGGUGGCCAAGGUAAAUGCAGAUGAACCGCUUCUAAUAGUCCAUUGACUUGGACAAUACUUUUAUGAUCUGAUCUCAAAUCAGGUAGGACUACCCGCUGAACUUAAGC
rnacentral:misc_RNA from 1 species